ensembl:lncRNA
GUAAGAGGAAGGAGAGGGGAGCGGGGACCGGGGGUGCGCUUGGGGGACACGCCCCGGGCGCCCCCUUCUGUGGCUUCAUCUCUCCUGUCCCUGCUAAACUUCGCUCGGCCUCUUGGCGUUUGAAGUUCUCUUGUCCUCUCGGCAAAGUCGGUCUCCUUCUGGCUGUUUGUGAGGUUGGGGUGAGGGAAGCCAAGUUAUGUGGGGAAAAUAAUUUUCUUUUUUCCUUAUCUCCUUUCUCUUCUCUUCAGGGAUAUUACUGGAUAUUUUGAACUAAAGUAGCUCAAAUUGGGGGGAAAUGGACCAGAGGGUCUAUUUCAUCUUUCUGGUCCCAAGAGGCCGAUGGAAUGUAUGGAGAACAGCGCGCGAGUGUGUGUGUGCGCGUGAGGGGGUGUAAGUCAAAUGCCGCCAGGAAGAAACCAUCCUUCAUGGGCCCCUGAAGUUUGUAAACACAUUUUGCUUUGUCUUGAAAGAAGCGUUUACACUUUUCAAGAAGGCCCUUCCGAAGAGUUCUUAGCUGCGCAACCGUUUACCGUUAAUGUUACCAUCUUGUGAUUCAGAAAGAACUCUGCACUAGGAGUCGAGCUGGGACACUUAGUUCUCCCACUGCAUUGCUGUGUGACCUUGGGAAGAUCACUUCACCACUCUGGAGCUGUGAAACACAGGGAACGGACUACAUCUUAAAUGAGAGUGGAUUUCUUGCAAUGUUAACAUUUUGUGACUUUAAAUUUCAUUCUGUGAUUGCUGCUUUUGAAGAAAACGUUCUGUCAACAUUUAACGUACAUACAGAAGAGUGGACAAAUCGUAUGUGCACAGCUCAUUGAAUUUACACCCUUCUAAUCAGCCCUAGAUUAAGAAAUACAAUGUUAUCAACAUUCUAGAAGCCCCCUUGUUGUCUCUGGGUCUUGAGUGCUACUCCAAAAUGUUAAAAAAAAAAAAAAAAACCCAAAAAACAAAAUAGAGAGAGAGAGACAGAAAAAAAAAUGAGGUGACGGUAAUUUUUAGAAAUUUGGAAGUUUAACAUUAAAAACCAAAAGCUUUAUUCAUUUGAAAGGCUAUUAAUCCAGUCCACAAUCCCCUAUUCACUAUUUUGAAAUCCAAAUAAUUCUGAAAACUGAAAGUUUUUGGCAAAGUUAUUUGGCAACAAAAUCUUACCUGAAAGAAUGGGUGGCUGUUUGAAGUCUUCAUUUAUGCCAUGUGGUGUGACUGUUCAUGUGUCUUACUCAGGAAACGUUCAUGUGAUUGAUGACGAAAUGCUGCCCCUGGACCUCACUUGGUUUAAUGUACAGCACACGGUCAUGUUUCUUCUUUGAAAUCAAAUAGAUUAUAAAUUCCAAGACAAAUCUGGCCCCAAGGACUUUGGGUGAGGGAUUUUGUAUUCAAAUCACAGCAUAAUUGUUUGUAAGAGUGGACACUCCAACUUUUUUAUUGCUUAUGUUUACAUGAUUUUUAUCUGAAAAGUAAAGCAGGUGCUGUUCUAGUUAACCAGCUGCUGCAUUAUCGGAAGUUUCUCUUUUAAUGCUAUGUUUUCUUUAAAAGAUAAACUUGUUUUGGAAUAGUUUUAGAUUUAAUAAAAAGUUGCAAAGAUUCUACAGAGAGUUACUAUAUAUCCUUCACCUUGCUUCCCCUUAUGUUACCAGCUUCCAUAACCACAGUACAUUUGUCACAACUAAGAAAUUAACUUUGAGCACAAUACUUUUGACUAAAUUAUAGACGUUAUUCAAAUUUCCUCAGUUUUUCCACUCAUGUCCUUUUUCCGUUCUGGGAUCCCACAUGGCUUUUAGUUAUCAUGUCUCCUUGGUCUCCUCCAGUCUGUGACAGUUUCUUAGACAUUCCUUAUUUUUUAUUAUCCUGACAAUUUCAAAGAAUACUGGUCAGGUUGCAUGCAACGACAUUGAUGGAACUUGAAGGCAUUUUGCUAGGUGAGAUAAGUCAGACAGAGAAAGAUAAACAGUGUAUGAUCUCUCUUAUAUGUGGAGUCUAAUAAAAACGAAAACCAAAAAGAUUCCCACUAAACUCACAGGAAAAAGAGAUCAGAUCUGUGGUCCCUGGGGUUGGGGGAGGGGGAAUUGGAGGAAGGUGGUUAAAAGUUACAGACUUCCAGUUUUUUGUUUUUGUUUUUUUUCUUCAGGAAGAUUGGCCCUGAGCUAAUAUCUGUUGCCAAUCCUCCUCCUUUCACUUGAGGAAGAUUCACCCCAAGCUAACAUCUGUGCCAGUCUUCCUCUAUUUUGUAUGUGGGUCACCACCACAACAUGGCCACUGGUGAGUGGUGUAGGUCCAUGCCCAGGAAUCGAACCCAGGCCACUGAAGCAGAGCUUGCUGAGCCUAACUACUAGGCCACAGGGCCAGCCCCCAAACUCCCAGUUUUAAGAUUAAUAAGCAAUAGGGGUGUAAUGCACAGCAUGAUGACUAUAAUUAACACUACUGAAUGAUAUAUAGGAAAAUUGUUGAGAGAAUAGGUCCUAAGAGUUCUCGUCACAAGGAGAAAAAAUUUUUCCUUUCUUUUUAUUGUGUCUAUAUGAGAUGAUGGGUGUUAACUAAACCUAUUAUGGUAAUCCUUUCUCAAUAUAUGUAAAUCAAACCAUCAUGCUGUACACCUUAAACUUACACAGAGAUGUAUGUCAAUUCUUUCUCAAUAAAAUUGGGGAAAUAAAGAAUACUGGUCAGGUAUUUUGUAGAAUUCCUUUUAGGCAUUUGUUUGUUUGUUUGCUUAAGUUUUUGUUUGUAAGCUUUUUAAAAUUAAACUUUUAUUCUGAAAUCGUUAUAUUCACAUGCAGUUGUAUAAGAUAAUACAGAAAGAUUCUGUGUAUCCUUUACCCAGUCUUCCCCAAUGAUAACAUCUUGAAAACUGUAGUCCAAUAUCACAACCAGGAUAUUAACAAUGAUACAGUCAAGAUACAGAGCAUUCCCAUCAGCACAAGAAUCCGUCAUCCAGCCCAACUCUUGUACUCUUUUGGUUCAGCACAUGUUGAUUAAGGUCUCCCAUGAGCCAGGCUCUGCUCAGGUGCUGGAGAGACAGGGGUGAACAAGAAAGACAAACCUGCCUUUGUGGAGCUUAGCUUCCAAGAGACAGAUGUGAACAAGGAAGCACAUGCACAGAUGACGGAAUGUCAGCUAACAAGUGCUGUGAAGAAAAAUCAGGAGACUAAGGACUCAGAGAGAGGAGGAAAUCCAGAAUUCUAACUUCUCCUGAAAAUCGAGAGCCCUGGUCAUAUUGGGCCAGCCUCCCUUCUCAGCACGGUGGGCGGGAGCUUCAGAGCAGCUGCUUGCUUUUGAUGGGGCAACUGUUUAAUCUGUGUUUCACGUUGAAAUCAUGUGUAACUAUUUUACAUCCUGUUUGUUGGAACUUCAUGGUGUUGUUCUGGGCUGGUAGUGGCUCUUUAAAAAUCUGAGGCGUUUAUUUUAAGUGAAAUUCCAUGGAGAGAGAGGCUUCUGUUGCUUCUAGUCCCACAGUCUGGCCUCCCGGUGAUGGCGUUUUGUGCAUUUAGUGACAACAGACAUGGUAUAUAAAACCUAUUGAAGUGUUUUCAUUUGUUGGUAUUCUUGGUAUUAUCAAGAAGCUGUGAUACAAUCAAAGGAGGGGAAAGGUUUUGGACUGCAAAUAUUUAGAAUGAAUUUUUCAUUUGAUCGUCAAAUUGUGUCACUCAUAAAAGAGAUUUCACCAUUUUAAGUGCUUUCUGCAGAUGAUGGGUAUUAAAAAAGACUUAAAUGGGGCCUUCAGAUCAAUAUGUUGAAUGAUAUCAGUUAUUUUUAAUCCUGGAAAUGAGUGAUUUCAAAUGAACAGUUAAGGCCAAUUUUUAUUGUGAUAAAAUACACAUGACAUAACUAAUUUUUAAGUGUACAAUUCAGUGGCAUUAAAUACAUUUACAAUGUUGUGUAACCAUCCACACUAUCUCUUUCUUGAACUUUUUCAUCUUCUCAAAUAGAAACUCUGUACCCAUUAAACAAUAACUCCUCAUUCCUCCCUUCCCCUGCCCCUGGUAACCUCUAGUCUACUUUGUGUCUCUAUGAAUUUGCCUCAUUUAGGUUUCUCAUAUAAAUGGAAUUAUAAAAUAUUUGUCCUUCUGUGUCUGGCUUAUUUCACUUGGCGUAUUGUUUUCAAGGUUUAUCCAUGUUACAGCAUGUAUCAGAAUUUCAUUCUAUUUUAUGGCUGAAUAAUAUUCCAUUGCAUGUAUUUUGUUUAUCCAUUUAUGGGGGACACAUGGGUUGUUUCCAUGUUUUGGUUAUUGUGAAUAAUGCCGCCAUGAUCAUUGGCAUAAAAGUAUCUGUUCGAGCCCCUGCUAUUCAGUUCUUUGGGCUAUAUACCUAGGAGUGAAAUUGUUGGGACAUAGUAUAAUUCUAUGUUUAGCUUUUUGAGGAUCUGCCAAACUGUUUUCUACCGUGUGUGCACCAUUUCACAUCUCUUUACUCUUUUGAUAGUGUCCUUCAGUGAACAAAAGUUAAUUUUAAUGAAGUCCAUUUUAUCUAUUUUUUCUUUUGUUGCUUGUGCUUCUGGUGUCAAAUCCAAGAAAUCAGUGCCAAAUCCAUUGCCAUGAAGCUUUGCCCUAAGAUUUCUUCUAAGAAUUUUAUAGUUUGGGCUUUUAGGUUUAGGUCUUUGAUCCCUUUUAAGUAAAUUUUUGUAUAGUGUAUAAAGUAAGUGUCCAAUUUCGUUCUUUUUGCAUGUGGAUAUCCAGUUUUCCCAGCACCAUUUGUGGAGAAGAUGGCUCUUUCCUCCUGUGUGUGUGAGAGCUUUUUCCAGAGCUCUCUAUUUUAUUCCGUUGUUCUAUGUGUCUGUCCUUAUGCCAGUACUGCACUGUUUUGAUUACUAUAACUUUGUAGUAAGUUUUGAAAUCAAGAAGUGUGAGUCUUCCAAGCUUGUUCUUCUUCUUAAAGAUUUUUUUUUUUUUUUUUUUGCAACUCAGGGUCCCUUGAAAUUCCAUAUUAAUUUUAGGUCAGGUUUUUCUAUUUCUGCCAAAUUUCAUUAGGAUUUUGAAUUUAGGAUUAGGAUUUUGAUAGAGAUUGCAUUGAAUCUAUAGAUCACUUUGGAUAGUAUUGACAUCAUAACAAUGUUAUUAAGUUUUCCAAUCCAUGAACAUGGGAUGUCUUUCCAUUUAUUUGCAUCUUCUUUAAUUUCUUUCAGCAUUGCCUUGCAGUUUUCAGUGUACAAGUCUUUCACCUCUUUGGUUAAGUUUAUUCCUAAGUAUUUCCUUCUUUUUGAUGGUAUUAUAAAUGGAAUUGUUUUUACAAUUUCCUUUAAUGUUUGUUCAUUGCUAGUGUCUAGAAAUGCAACUGUUGAUUUUGUAUCAUGCGACUUUGCUGAUUUGUGAUUAGCGCCAAUAGUUUUUUAAUGGAAUCUUUAGGGUUUUCCACAUAUAGGAUUGUGCCAUCUACAAACAGAAAUAAUUUUACUUCUUCCUUUCCAGUUUGAGUCCCUUUUAUUUAUUUUUCUUGUCAAAUUGCUGUGGCAAUAACUUCCAGUACUAUGUUAAAUAAAAUGAUGAAAACAGGCAUCCUUGUCUUGUUCCUCAUCUUAGAGGAAAAGCUUUCAGUCUUUCACCAUUGAGUAUGAUGUUAGCUGUGGGUUUUUCAUAAAUGACUUUAUCAUGUUGAGGGAGCUCCCUUCUAUUCCUAGUUUAUUGAGCAGUUUUAUCAUAAAGGAGUGCUGAAUUUUGUCAGAUCCUUUUUCUACAUCAAUUGAGAUGAUCAUGUGUGCUUUUUCCCCUUUCUUCUGUUAAUGUAGUAUAUUACAUUGAUUGAUUUUUGUAUGGUGAGCCAUUCUUGCAUACUGGGAAUAAAUCCCACUUGACCAUUCUGUAUAAUUCUUUUAAUAUGCUGCUGAAUUCAAAUUGCUAGUAUUUUAUUCAGGAAUUUGCAUCAGUACUCAUAAGGAUAUUGGUCUGUAAUUGUCUUUUCCUGUAAUUGUCUUUUUUUUUUGGUGUCAGGGUUAGGCUGGCCUCAUAGAAUGAGUUAGGAAGCAUUCCCUCCUCAUCACAUUUUUGGGAGAGUUUGAGAAGGAUUGGUGUUAAUUUUUUAAAUGUUUGGUAGAAUUCACAGUGAAGCCAUCUGGAUUUUUUGUUGUUGUUGGGAGGCUUUUGAUUAAUGAUUCAAUCUCCUUACAUGUUACAGGUCUUCUCAGGUUUUCUGUUUCUUCAUGGGUCAGUUUUUGCAAAUUGUGUGUUUCUAGGCAUUUGUCCAUCUCAAUUUUGACAAUUUUUAAACUGAACUGUUGGCAAAAUAGUUACUUCUGUCUGUUUGAUUUUAUUACUUUCUUGCCAAAGAGUGAAACUCUCAUUUUAAAUGGCAUGUUAUUUCUUUACCAAGUAGAGUACCAAGGAAGAUGAAGAUUUUGCUUGUAUAUAUUAUUGUUGAUAUGUAUUCUAUUUUUGUCAAAUAUUUAAUAAAAUGUUUUAUUGUAUGUCUUGUGACCCUUUGAAAGUAGGCAACUGUAUAUAAGAUUAUCAGGCUAUAUAAAAAUGUUUCCAGCAUACUAGUUACCUAUAGUUUAGAUUGUAAAGCUUCUAUGGAGUUUUUGAUAAAAUGUCGCUAUCAGCUGACAAUUAUCCUUACUCUUGUAAACUGACUGUGUUUUUACAUGGUCUUUAGCCCAUUUAAUUGGCACAACAGAAUGAACCAAUGAUAUAUUUGGCUCAAGCUUAAAUGUCUCAAGUUUUUUUCAGCAAUUGGGUCAGACAGAGCCAGCAGAAUCAACCAUCUGUGGGGUGUGGGAGCUCUGUGACCGUCUGUGCGGUGUGGGAGCUCUGUGACCGUCUGUGGGGUGUGGGAGCUCUGUGACCGUCUGUGGGGUGUGGGAGCUCUGUGACCGUCUGUGGGGUGUGGGGAGCUCUGUGACCGUCUGUG